rnacentral:rRNA from 1 species
GACGAACGCUGGCGGCGUGCUUAACACAUGCAAGUCGAACGGAAAGGCCCUGCGUUUGUGGGGUGCUCGAUUGGCGAACGGGUGAGUAACACGUGAGUAACCUGCCCUUAACUUUGUGAUAACUUCACGAAACUCGGGCGAAUACCGGAUAUGAGCUCCUGCUCCAUGGGGGGGGUUGGAAAGUUUCGGCGGUUGGGGAUGGAUUCGCGGCUUAUCAGCUUGUUGGGGGGGUAGUGGCUUACCAAGGCUUCGACGGGUAGCCGGCCUGAGAGGGUGAACGGCCACAUUGGGACUGAGGUAGGGACCAGACUCGUACGGGAGGCAGUAGUGGAGAAUAUUGCACAAUGGGCGGAAGUCUGAUGCAGCAAUGCCGCGUGCGGGAUGACGGCCUUCGGGUGGUAAACCGAUUUCGACUGUGACGAAGAGUGAGUGACGGUAAUGGGUAAGGAAGCACCGGCUAACUACGUG